rnacentral:lncRNA from 1 species
GUGACAUGUUCCACGAGACCCACGAGAGCGAGAACCUCUACUCCAUCGCCUGUGACAAGCCCCAGCAGGUGCGCAACAUGACGCUGUUCUCUGACCUGGUGGCCGAGAAAUUCAUCGAUGACAUGGAAGACGUCCUUUGUCCGGACCCCCAGAUCGUGUGUCCAGAACUUCCCUGCCAAACAGAUGAACCAUGGCCCGGGAACAAGCCCCCGGUCACCUUCCUCCGCACGGAAGAGGGUCCAGACCCCACCUUCCCCAAGACCAUCCCCCUGAUCCAGCAGUUGCUAAACGCCACGGAGUUCACACAGAACCCAGCUGCCUACUCCCAACUGGUGGCUGUGAUGGUCUACACCGCCGAGAGGGCCAAGUUCUCCACAGGGGUCGAGCGGCAGGACUGGAUGCAGCUGUUCAUUGACACCUUUAAACUGGUGCACAGGGAUAUCACAGGGGACCCAGAGAGCGUGCUGGCACUCUGCUAAAGCUUCGGGCUCACUGCGGGCAGAUAGCCAGAUCUAACCCCUCAUUUCUUUUAGAUUCCCAGGGCUGAGGCCUUAGGCAGUAGGAACCUAGGAACUGGCCCUCCCACUCCUGAGGCCAGAAGUAUAGAACCUUGUGUCUUUAAUAUGACACUCUCUGAAGGGUCCCUCCUAGUUCCUCCAGCCUCUGGUAGAAAUUCCAUCCUUGUGCUUGUGGGCACACCACUCCAGUAUCACUUCUAUUUCCCCAUAGGCUCUUUUCUUUGUAUCCCCAUGUCCCUCCUCCUUUUCCUCUUCCUCUUCCUCCUCCUUCUCUCCCCUCUCCUCUUCCUCCUCCUUCUCUUCUUCCUCCUUCUCUCUCUUCUUCCUCUUCCUCCUCCUCUUCCUCCUCCUCUCCCUUUUUCUCCCUCUUCCUCCUCCUCUUCCUCUCAUGUUUUACAUUUUGUUUUGGGAGAUGAGGUUUCUCUGUUUCACAGCCUUGACUGUUCUGGAACUUGCUCUGUAGGCCUGAAACUCACAGAGCUCCCCCUGCUUCUGCCCCACGCCGCCACCCCCAGUGCUGGGAUUAAAAAAAAAAAAAGGCAUGCUCUCUCGUGCCCCUCUUUGCUCUGAGGACAUCAGUGACCGAAGGCUCACCUUAAGCCCCAGAAGCUCACAUGUGGCAAAGGGCUGUACUGCUGGGAUUAGGUUAAGGUUCAUGAGAUGUAAAUUUCUGGGCAUCUCUCAGCAGAGCACAUCACCUCAGUUCAGCUGAGUCCUGUGUUUGAGAGCACAGAUGGGGGUGGUGCUAUUUGAAUGCUUGGGAAGAUCCCCCUGUCCUGGUCCUUUCUGCGUUCUGAUUGAGCUCAAGGGGUCUCAUCAGGCUAGACGGAUGUCCUCCACCCCAUCUGUGCCCCUCUCUCCCAGGGUGAGGCUUACCCAGUCUCCUCCAGGCCCUGGAGAUGUUGAUGUUGAGGGAAAGUGCUCAAGCCAGCAGCCCCCACUGUCUGUGUGCCUCUGGGCUUGUGCUAAUAACUGAGGGAGUGGGUGAGUUGUGAGGAGCCAGGAGAUCCAGUAGUCCCUCAAAAUUUUCUGGAGCAGAUUUCAGGGAUUGCGGGUACUACAUAAGGUUUUCGACUAAUAUGCUCAGUAGGAAAGACCCUGCCCAUUGAGGCACUACCCGACUCGGGGCUCAGACUCAGAGGUAGUGAGCGAUUGUAAACAUUUUAUAAAGAGAUGAAACGUUUAACUGUG